rnacentral:rRNA from 1 species
AGCGAACGCUGGCGGCAUGCCUAACACAUGCAAGUCGCACGGGGGGCUUUGGGCCCCCAGGGGGGGGAGGGUGAGGGAAGCGGAGGGACCCGUCGGGGGGGGGGGGAAAAACGGGGGAAAACGCGGCCAAUAACGGCAGACCCCCCGGCGGGACAGCCGGGGGCAAAGGCGAAAGCCGGCCGGCGGGGGGCCCGCGGCCGAUUAGCUGGUUGGCGGGGUAGCGGCCCACCAAGGCGCCGGUCGGUAGCUGGUCUGAGAGGGUGAUCAGCCACACCGGGACUGAGACACGGCCCGGACUCCUACGGGAGGCAGCAGUGGGGAAUAUUGGACAAUGGGCGCAAGCCUGAUCCAGCAAUGCCGCGUGGGUGAAGAAGGUCUUCGGAUUGUAAAGCCCUUUCGGCGGGGACGAUGGUGACGGUACCCGCAGAAGAAGCCCCGGCUAACUUCGUG